GGCAACUUGGCCGAGUGGUCUAAGGCGCUGGAAUUAGGUUAUCAUCCAUCCAGUCCUUCGGGGCGUGAGUUCGAACCUCACAGUUGUCA